GACGAACGCUGGCGGCGUGCCUAAUACAUGCAAGUCGAACGCAGUGGGGACGGGUGAGUAACACGUGGGUAACCUCCCAUCAGAGGGGAUAACACUUGGAAACAGGCGCUAAACCGAUAAGGAGGGAUGGUCCCGCGGUGCAUAAGCUAGUUGGGGAGGUACCGGCCCACCAGGGCCACGAUGCAUAGCCGACCUGAGAGGUGGAUCGGCCACACUGGGACUGAGACACGGCCCAGACUCCUACGGGAGGCAGCAGUAGGGAAUCUUCGGCAAGGGACGAAAGUCUGACCGAGCAACGCCGCGUGAGUGAAGAAGGUUUUCGGAUCGUAAAACUCUGUUGUUAGAGAAGCGGUAUCUAACCAGAAAGCCACGGCUAACUACGUGCCAGCAGCCGCGGUAAUUC
rnacentral:rRNA from 1 species